rnacentral:rRNA from 1 species
GGGGCUGGAGUCGGUCCCAAGGGUUGGGCUGUUCGCCCAUUAAAGCGGUACGCGAGCUGGGUUUAGAACGUCGUGAGACAGUUCGGUCCCUAUCCGCUGUGCGCGUAGGAAUAUUGAGAAGGGCUGUCCCUAGUACGAGAGGACCGGGACGGACGAACCUCUGGUGUGCCAGUUGUUCUGCCAAGGGCAUGGCUGGUUGGCUACGUUCGGGAGGGAUAACCGCUGAAAGCAUCUAAGCGGGAAGCCUGCUUCGAGAUGAGUAUUCCCACCUCCUUGAGAGGGUAAGGCUCCCAGUAGACGACUGGGUUGAUAGGCCGGAUAUGGAAGCCCUGUAAGGGGUGGAGUUGACCGGUACUAAUAGGCCGAGGGCUUGUCCUCAGUUG